rnacentral:lncRNA from 1 species
CUCAUUCUUUGCUCCAAUAAGGCAGUUUUAGGGGGAUUUUCUCCAAAUUGUCCUUUUACACCAUUUUCUGCAAAAUAAUAUUAAAAACACUAAAUUAGGCAGAAAUCAUGUAAAUAUUUAUUAAUAAUAUUAAUAUAAAAUGGACUAAAUUAUGUUCUAUCAAAUACCCCCACACUUAGCAUUUUGCUUGUCCUCAAGCAAAUAAACAUAGUC